UUGCGUAUAUUGGACAAUGGGCGAAAGCCUGAUCCAGCCAUGCCGCGUGUUUGAAUAAGGUCUUCGGAUUUUAAAGCUCUUUAAGUUUGGAGGAAGGUCAGUAAGCGAAUACCUUGCUGUUUUGACGUUACCGACAGAAUAAGCACCGUCUAACUCUGUGCCAGCAGCCGCGGUAAUACAGUGGGUGCAAGCGUUAAUCGGAAUUACUGGGCGUAAAGCGCGCGUAGGUGGUUCGUUAAGUUGAAUGUGAAAGCCCCGGGCUCAACCUGGGAACUGCAGCCAAAAAUGGCGAGCGAGAGUAGGGCGGAGGGUGGUGGAAUUUCCUGUGUAGCGGUGAAAUGCGUAGAUAUAGGAAGGAACACCAGUGGCGAAGACGACCACCUGGGCUCAUACUGACACUGAGGUGCGAAAGCGUGGGGGGCAAACAGG
rnacentral:rRNA from 1 species